UACGAAGGGGGCUAGCGUUGCUCGGAAUUACUGGGCGUAAAGGGCGCGUAGGCGGCACUGUUAGUCAGGCGUGAAAGUCCUGGGCUCAACCUAGGAACUGCGCUUGAUACGGCAGAGCUAGAGGAUGGAAGAGGGUCGCGGAAUUCCCAGUGUAGAGGUGAAAUUCGUAGAUAUUGGGAAGAACACCGGUGGCGAAGGCGGCGACCUGGUCCAUUACUGACGCUGAGGCGCGACAGCGUGGGGAGCAAACAGG
rnacentral:rRNA from 1 species